GACAGAGGGUGCAAACGUUGUUCGGAAUUACUGGGCGUAAAGGGCGCGUAGGCGGCCUGCUAAGUCGAACGUGAAAUCCCUGGGCUUAACCCAGGAACUGCGUCCGAUACUGGCAGGCUUGAAUCCGGGAGAGGGAUGCGGAAUUCCAGGUGUAGCGGUGAAAUGCGUAGAUAUCUGGAGGAACACCGGUGGCGAAGGCGGCAUCCUGGACCGGCAUUGACGCUGAGGCGCGAAAGCCAGGGGAGCAAACGGG
rnacentral:rRNA from 1 species